rnacentral:tRNA from 1 species
UUUAAUAUGGCAGAUUAGUGCUAUGGACUUAAACCCCAUAUAAAAAGAUUAUUAAAUUCUUUUAUUAAAA